AGAGUUGUUAGGAAAAAAAAAAUCAGGACCACAAUCGUAACACGUUAACCGUAUCUACUGUGGACAUACAGCUAAGUUGCUAAACUGAAACGUCUCUUCAUCGCCGCUGGUAGCAGGCUGCUAGCUAGCUAGCUAACCUGUCAUUUGCCGGUUUCCAUACAGGUUUGUGCUCUUCUGAACAAAAGCCUACAUUACUACAGAGGAGUAGAAUGCUACAGGUGAUGGUUUUACACUUUCUGACCCGGCAGAGGGAGCAACCGCUUCAUUUUGCAGAGCAGGACCACAGAGCGUCUGCAGCGGUCUGCAGGGGAAAAGUCUCCUCUGCUGAUCCUGGAUACUCAGUGGAGAGAAGACAGCCAACCCGUCCACUUCAGCGCGUAAAACACAGGCCCUGGGAUUCCCUGCAAGGUUCUGAAAACAGAAAAUAAACUAGAUCCAUGGUGUAGACUCACUUUGAAGCCCAUUUUCAAUGUAUAGACCAAAUGUAUCUAUUAAAGAUGAACAUCCAAUCUGAUUCAAAUGUGA